rnacentral:rRNA from 1 species
UACGGAGGGUGCAAGCGUUAUCCGGAUUCACUGGGUUUAAAGGGUGCGUAGGUGGGUUGGUAAGUCAGUGGUGAAAUCUCCGAGCUUAACUUGGAAACUGCCAUUGAUACUAUCAUUCUUGAAUAUCGUGGAGGUAAGCGGAAUAUGUCAUGUAGCGGUGAAAUGCUUAGAUAUGACAUAGAACACCGAUUGCGAAGGCAGCUUGCUAACCGAAUAUUGACACUGAGGCACGAAAGCGUGGGGAUCAAACAGG